UCGAUGCUCCUUGCAUUCAUCGAGUAGAAACUGUUCUGUUCAACUGAGCAGUCGCCACCUCCCCUCCAAGUUAAAAAUCUACCCUCAUCCUCAACAUCGACCACGCCCACCCGCUCGCUCGCGUCGUCAUCUCUAGCAGGGGGUUCUAAUCUGAUUGUACAAGGUGACCUCUCAAGAUUUCUCCGAUUUGAUUGGGUUUUGAUUGGAUACUGUUGGUCGCUGAAGCUAGGAGGAAGCGUAUCAUCACAUGUAUGGCCGAAGGACGCUCUGCUUUCAUUUGGUACAGAAGUGCUCAUCUCUCACUCAUAAUUUUUAUUUACAUUGCAUAAGCACAUGCGUCUUCAUUUUUUUCUACUUUUGCUGGUCGGAUGUAUUUGUUACCCUCGAAUCCCCCUAAAUUAAUUAGUUACAUUGGAAUUUGCUUCCCUCAAUCUUCCGUGAAAUACAUUCAUCGCCUGGAAUCCGCGGGAGCCGGUUCUCCAGGAGGUGAGGGGCACUUUGACGGCAAGAACAUCAUGGACAACAGGCCGGGACAUUGCAGUCACGAUGACUGCGGUGGCCAACCAUCCCUGGAGGCAGUGCCUGUUUCGAUUUAUGCUCCUCUCUCCCCAAUUUGCUUUCACGUGCUCCAACUAUUCAAUACCAACAAUUUCAUUCCAUGUCACGUCAGUUUUGUACAAAUUACCAUGGAACCUUUGCUACUAUCUGGACUUCUGCAGACAACCAAGAAAUUGCCCCCCUGAUCAGGUCAUCUGAAUGCAGCACCAUGUGAAUUACUUCAUAUGGAUAAUUGUUCACCCACGAGCGAACACCAAAUUCUACUUCUAUGAACAGGAGAGGUCUCGAGUGCUUCUUGGCGGUAUGCCUUUCUCUGUUUUUUUUUUUCAUUAGUUCUGCCAAACAAUUAUGUACAUAACCCUUCUGGCGUUUCAGGAAACAUGGUUACCAUCGUACAGUGCUAAUCUACUGGUACAACUUCAUUAUGUAAAGUUAUUUUUUGUUUGGAGAGUUGUCAACUGUAUGGUCUGAAUGUUUUAAUGUAAAAAUAAUGAGUGUUUUACAUGGUUAUCUGUGUGCAGUUUGGCAAUUGGCAUAUGCAGGGAAGUCCUUUUUUUCUGUCCAGAAUCAUUCCAUGUUAUUUUGCAAUUAAGAAAUGAAAAUUCAUAUAGUCUCAUAAUCUCUAACUUACAGAUUUCUUAACAUUUUCCUUUGCAAUCUAGAAUCCUAAUUAUGGCUCUUAAUAUAACAGUGUGAUCAGAUUGAUUAAUGUAAGGGCAAUACUUCUCUCCACCAUUUCUAUUCUUGAUUACUUAGUUUUGAUUUGUCUGCUUUUCUUCAAGUUGAACUGCAUGUAGUCUGCAUGUAAGCAUACACUUGGUUAUGCCCUGAUAUGUGUCUACUCACUAGCCUGUUGGUUUCAUCUCCUUAGAUCAUGCAAAUUCUGAAAGCUUCAUUUCUGAAGGCAGGGAUACGUUUUAGAGGAAAUCCAAUGCUGAGAGGAAAAGUUUGAGGAUUUUUUAUCUGAGGUAUCACUGCUGGGAAAAUCAGAUGUUGCAUAUGUCAACACAGGAUCCUUUGUUUUCACUUUUCGAGUUUACUCUUACUUUUAGUUUCAAGCGGCAGGAUGUGUUUCCAAGAAGUAUUAAGCACCAUGGUGUUACCAUAAUCUUAUAGUAGCUAACCCCAUGGUUAUUGUUCCCAAAAGUAUUAGCCUGUUUGUUAUUGUUUUUUCAGAUAUUGUAUCUCUGAAGUGCUAGCCCCAUGGUGUUACCAUAAUCUUAUAUCAGCUAACUGCAUUUAAAUACAUAUAUACCAAGUUGUAUCUUCCCUUGAUUCUGAUUUCCACAACUCAGUUGGCCCUUUUGAAGUUGGCCUAAGCUACCGGAGUAACAUUUAUGUACUAUAAUUGUUUCAAUGCUCACCCAGUACCAUUAUAUUAGUGCUAAGUCCAAGUCUGUACCAUCUAUCCAUGUAGUCGUUCAACAUUUCAAAUGCAAUUAUCAACAUUUUACUUA